rnacentral:rRNA from 1 species
UCAAUAUGGGGGAUCACUUAGUCCUUAAAUCGAUGAAAAACAUAGUAAUUUGUGGAAAUUGAUGUGAGUUGUGAAAUUUUGUGAGCAUUGUGUUUUUGAAUGAAAAUUUCAGCAUGGAUGCAAUCGUAUCGAUGCUACAUUUGUUUCAGUAUAUAAACCGUACAAUACGUAAUUACCAUUGCUU